AUACAGAGGCACACACACGGAGCAGCAGCCGCGGCCGGCACAUCCUUGGCUCCACGGCGGCCUGCGCCCCCUCCGCUUCCCGAUGGCCGGUGCCUCCUCGGCUCCCCCGCCGCCGGCGCGUCCUCUGAUGUGUGGCGGCCAGCACGUCCCGCGGCGGCCGGCGCGUCCUCGGGCCCUCCGGCGGCCUGCGCCCCUCGGCUGCCCGGAGGCCGGCCCGUCCGCGGCGGUUGGCGCCUUCUUGGUUCCCCGGCCGCCGGGCGUCCGUGCGGCGGCCAGCGCCUCCUCGGCUCUGCAACGUCCGGUGCCUCCUCGGCCCCGCGGCGGCCGGCGCAUCCUCGGCCCUCUUCUUCCUCCUCCGGCGGACUACACGGCGGCUCUCCGGCAAGGCACAGCCCCGUCGCCUUCCUCCUGUUCCUCUGGUGCCUCUCGCCGCCUCCCGCGCCGCGGCUCGCCUUCGUGCCGCUCUCUCUCUCUCUCUCUCUCUCUCUCUCGGCGCGCUUCCGUGCCCGUCCCGCGUGUGGCGUCCGACGGCAGACCGACACCACGGAGGUGGACGAGAAGGCAGGCGGCGGCGCGGAUGGGCGUGACGGAGCGCAAGGUAAGGAGUCGGAGCAGCGGACGUACCUGGUGGCCGCGGUGAUGUCCAGCCUCGGGAUCGCCUCCAUGGCCGCCGCCGUCUACUACCGCUUCACCUAGAAAAUGGAGGAAUCGUCCCGCCACCACACGGACGACGACCACGAAGCCACGAUGCAGCGUCCACCGAUGGAAAGGGACGUAGGGGAGGGGAUCCAUUGGUGGGGCAGAGCCUGUGGCGUCCAGCGGCAGCAAGGGGGGCGGGGGCGCCCAGGUUUCUCCCUUCAUCUCUCUCUCACUGCCGCCGCCGUGGCCCAGGUCCUCCCUGGCGUGUUCUUCUCAUGUCCCUGUGAGAGAUACCUCUUGCAGCUGCUGGUCCAGAUAAGAGAAAAGAUGCAAGUUUAGGUGCACAUCUGCCUAGAGUUCUCCAUCGACGACAUACAAGUUACAUCAGUCGAAAGACCUGGUUAGUUUUAUGCUCUCUUUUUUGUGUUUGUUCAUCUCCAAUUCUAGGUUCAGAUUAGUACUCCACUAGCUUGUGCGAGUUGCCACGAUGGGACAUGGAAGACCAUCAGGAAAAUCAGCGCAGUCCAGCCGUGGCUAUGAUGCACAUCUCUUGGCAAAAUUCGAGGACUUAAAUCUCGGGGAACAUAAGUGUCUCACAGGGAAGUUUUAGGCACAAGCUGUUCAAGGUACUGUACAGUUUUUCUUACACAUUCAGAUUUUAUUGGUGAGAGACAUGCUUAUGACAAUCCGUCCUCUUUAAAGAGAUUUCAUUUGAUUGUUCAUCUGCUCUUAUGUAAUUAGAGUGCAAGGAUAAUUUACUUUCAGCAUGUUUAGCCCGUGAGCGACCAGCAUUUUCCAAUGUUGGUUCUUAUGAGAUAUGGUAUCAGUACUCACCGUGAUGUGAAGAACCGUAAAAUUGUUUGUUACUGAUGCAUGCUUCCGUUUUUACCUUUCAUGUUGGCUGUCUAAUGAGUUGAUUAUAAGGCAGUCAGGUUAGGUGUGCAUGGCAUUAACUAAAUUCUUUUGCAAUGUGCAUAUAUUGCGUUAGGAACAUCAACCUUCAUAAAAUUUGUUUCUACUUACCUAUGGUUGUGUUCUCUAUUAUAAUAUUUAACCUGCGGUAUCAUAGGUGUCACAUUUGUUUACUUUUUCUCCCAAAUUUUAUGCAGGCUGCAAUUUUAAUUGAGGAUGGACUAUACAUUAGAAAUCACUAAGAUGAAUACUUCUCCCACUGUAUUGCUAAAAGAACAUGCCUAAUUAACAAAGAAAAUGCUAAAUAGACAACUGCAACUCAUGUGUAUUUAUUUCUUCAUGUUGACAAGGUAUUCUGAAAGAUGUUCGUAUCAAUGGUUCGUAUCAAUGCAGAGUAUUCUGAAACAUGUUUCCGUUUAAGAACGGGAUUGCCAUGGCAGAGCAUCUGAGAUUUAGUAUGGUUAGAGUCUAAAUCAUAGCUAAAGAAAUAAGGACGGCUUGCUACUUUCACUUUUUUGUUUGGUUCAUCCAAAUCCCGUCAUGUUAGAUAAGUACUGGAGAACAUGCUUUCCAAAGCAAAUUUAUUAUCUAUCCUUUCUCUAUCAAUUUUAUUUUAAAGUUUCGAUUUCUGUUUGCUUGACCCAAAUUCCUACAGAUGCACGAUUUCAUGAUAGUGCGCUUUUUAAAUCCUCGCCACCUCCAUGUACCUGGGUGAGCCACUACUUUAAUGGUUUAUGUUAAGAUUAUUGGUUACUUUUUCCAUAGGUUGGACGAAUUACUUGCACUACUCGCUUUCAUAGGUUUGUUUAUUAUUUUGUUCCUGAAAUAUCUCAUUUUUUCUGUUUUGAUGCUAAAGCCUACAAGAUAUGUCAUCAACGAAUAUUAUUUUUUGCCGUAUAGAGGAAAGUAUAACUUAUUCUCAAAUACCUUGAUUUAGGGCUUAUACUCUGUAAGAAACGAAUCUUGAGACAAAUAGAUUCUUACUGGAAAUAGGUGCUUCCGGGUGUAUUAAUUCCAUGUUUCUAAAAGAAAUAAUGCACUGUUGCCUCCAAUUGAAGCAUGAUACUAUGCGUACUAUGUAUGCUUGAAGAAUUUACUCUAAGGUUUAUACUUAAACCCAAACAUUCCUGAACAGUGAGUUCUUAACGGAGAUACAUUUAACAUUUCUUCAAGGGCAAAAAGAUUGGAUGGUUCAGACUCUUUUGUUAUGGUAUUUUUUUUUACCAAUUCUGCUACCCUGUAUGAAUUAAGCGAAGUUACCAUCAAGUCUUAGAACGGCUAUGGAGUAUGUUGGUGGUGGUGACUGAAUUCCCAAGUUUUCUUCCUUUGCCAUCAUGCCUCUGUUCUGAAUACAGUUUUCAUGAUAGUUAAAGCACACUGUCCAGAAAGGAUUAUGUAUGCAACCAUCAUACUGCUGACUACAUUGUGCAUCUCCCAUUUAUUAACUUCUAUCUGAGAAGUCCUUUUUGUGUUUUGUCUGCAUAUAUGAUAUACUGCUUAUAUUUACUUCUUGCUGGUUAAUUUCAAGAACACCUCCAUUGAGCAAUUGACAAUGUUACAUUGUGCAAGAGCUGGGAUCAUCCGCUUGCCACUUUCUUCCAAAGGUAAAGAUGAAAAGGAUAUUUCAUUUCUAUUCUUACAUGUCAAGCUAAUAAGGUGAAGUAGUAAUACAUAAUCUUCACGGGAAAUAAUAUUUUCUUGAAAAGAUAACUUUUUUAGUCAUUGCUUUGCAUCCGUACUAGCAUUAGGGUAUUGCGUUGUUGCAGAGGCUGGGUGUAUUUGGUAUCUAUCGAUAUUAAUAUAUUCCCUUUAUCGAAAAAUUGCUUUGCAAUAGAUGUCCAAUUUUUGUGCUUCCUCCCUUAAUUUUUGUAGGGCAUUGAUGUGUUGAAACAGUAGUAUAUUGAGCUUGAUGAGGGACUUAUCCAGUGUUUGGUCGAAUUUUAAAUUCCACAGCUUUACCAGAAUACUCAUAUUAUUUAGUAGUUAUAUUUUUAUAUGCCAGGAUCAUUAUUUAUUAUCAGAAUUGGUUCUGCCUUUGGAAUUAGCCUGUUGAAGUUUUUCCAUAGUAUAUAAUCUUUCUUUCAUUAGUUCAGUAGGCAUGAAUAAGAUUAUCGUAUAGACUGUAACAAUCAAGCUCUCCUUAGAAGUGUGUUAUCGCAUCCUUCUCUUAAAAAUAGCUUAUGAAGCUUCAUUUUGAGGGUAUGAGGGUCCAAUAUCUCCUUUUCUCAUUAUCUUCCAAUUUGUAUUAUAUGUGAUCCGAAUUAUUUAUGUAGAAUAUGGUUUACGGUAAAUUUAGAGAGAUUCAUACAUAGAUUUGCAGGUCAAACCCUGAAGAACUUGUAGUAGUUUUUCCUUCGGCAAGCAUGAAGAGGAGAAACACAAUUACCAAUAUGCAAAGGGAAGCGAUGUAUUUGCACAGUACAUUCUUUUUCUCAUCAACUCUAUAUUCUACAUACAUAUGAUGCUUGCUUUCAGGUUCCUUGCACAUUCCACAUUAAUUAAGUAACCGAGAUGCCAAAUUAUUUUAUAGUUCGUCGAAAGUAAAAUUUGCCAAUUCAGUUGUGCUAGCUCCCAUAUGAUAUCAUGUUACUCUGUCAGGCUGCCAUGUGCUGGCAAUGUUUAGCUAAACAAAUUAGUAAUAGUCUUAUUUGUUUGCUACAAAAUAAAUUAGCUAUAGUGCUCUUCCAGUGUCACAUGUUUCAUCAAGAUAGAGUUCUUUGAGUGUCACAAAAUUUUCUGUUAUAUAUAAAUGCUAGCUCCCAUAUGAUAUCGUGUUGCUCUAUCAGGCUGCCAUGAGUUGGCAAUGUUUAGCUAAACAAAUUAGCAAUAGUACUCUUUGAGUGCUACAAAAUAAAUCGGCAAUAGUCCUCUUGCAGUGUCACAUGUUUCACUAAGGAGAGUUCUUUGAGUGCCACACAAUUUUCUGUUCUAUUAUGUACAUUACACCCUUCCAUGCAUAAUAAGUGUAUUAGUUUAGUUUAAAAGGGACCCAAGAAUAUCCUCAUGCACAGUAAUCUAUUCAGUGAAAGAUGACCAUGGAAAAGUGGUGUAUUUCUGCACGUUUAGAACACACGAUUUGCUGAUAUAUGGAAAUAGCUAUUCAGUGAAAGAUGACCAUGGAGAAGUGCUUAAUUUAGAUUUCUGGGUGUCAUUCCUUCUCAAGUUUGCUGGUUAUGCAGACCUGCUCUACUCUUAGCGCAUGGCCUGUAGUUCAUGGUUAUUUGUAUGUAUCUGCUAACUAUGUUAAAAAUGGCAAGCCUACAAUAAAAGGAAAUUUGCAGGAUACACCAUGUCUGUUUUAAAAUAAUCAUGAUUUGAGAACAUAAAUACUUCUAUCUAUCAAUUCCUUGCUCAUAUCUUCGACACUAUUGCUUUUGCUUUGUAGAAAUUUGAUGAUUUCUUUGUAUGAAAUAUGAUGAUAUGCCCACAAGCCCACAAACACCACUUUGGGUCACUUUGAACGCAUCAAUGGCAAACUAUAGGCAUCAUUAUUUGUUUGAAAAGAAUAUUUGAACAGAAAUUUAAUGGAGAACACUGCUUGGACCACCCACUUCAGUGAAUAGUAGAGGCCAAGGACCCAACAAGAGGAGCCAGAACAUGCCAAGCACGGCACCGACGAGUCCGUCCGGUCUGAACUUGCAAGGGAUCUCUACAUUACGCGUUGCCUUCGGUUGUUUCCUUUCAAUCUUUUAGAUGUAUGCUAUGUACUGAAACUUACUAAGGGUGUACUAUUACAAUGUAAUUUCAUGCAUUGCUUAUCUUUCA